rnacentral:rRNA from 1 species
CCUGAGAAACCUAAAAGAUCGAAUGGGGAGAUUCAUCGUCAACGCAUUUGGUAUAUAUUCAAGUUACGAUAUAAAUUUAMCCUUGUGUUAAUUUUUGUACGUUCUUGUAUUAUUUUAUUGCUGAAUGUCGUCGGCGUGCACUUCUCCCCUAGUAGAACGUCGCGACCCGUUAGAUGUCGGUCUACGGCCCAUAUGGUAGUCUUUAAUGCUUUGUGCAUUGAAGUCCAAUGGUGUUUCCUGAUCGUCUAUCUGACGGUAUAGAAUAUGGUAUUGGGUCGCAAAAUUAUUUUGCGUUAAACCUAUCACAAGCAUGAUUGAUUAUCUAGUAGUGCGGACCUAGUSCCGUCACUGGAGUUAGUCUGCUGUUAGUUGGUAGAGUUCUUUAACUGGCUCAUUUAUACCGGUCAGCGAUGCUACUGCUUUAGGUACUUUCAGGACCCGUCUUGAAACACGGACCAAGGAGUCUAACAUGUGCGCGAGUCAUUGGGAUUUAUUUUUUUAAAACAAACCUAAAGGCGUAAUGAAAAUAAAGGUCGACUUUUGUCGAUUUAGGGAGGAUGAGUUAUAUUACGAUAUAAUUCCGCACUCCCGGGGUAUCUCAUUSRCAUUAUGCGNNNNNGUGCACCCA